rnacentral:rRNA from 1 species
GACGAACGCUGGCGGCGUGCCUAAUACAUGCAAGUAGAACGCACAGUUUAUACCGUAGCUUGCUACACCAUACACUGUGAGUUGCGAACGGGUGAGUAACGCGUAGGUAACCUGCCUGGUAGCGGGGGAUAACUAUUGGAAACGAUAGCUAAUACCGCAUAAUAUUGAUUAUUGCAUGAUAAUUGAUUGAAAGAUGCUAUUGCAUCACUACCAGAUGGACCUGCGUUGUAUUAGCUAGUAGGUGAGGUAACGGCUCACCUAGGCGACGAUACAUAGCCGACCUGAGAGGGUGAUCGGCCACACUGGGACUGAGACACGGCCCAGACUCCUACGGGAGGCAGCAGUAGGGAAUCUUCGGCAAUGGACGAAAGUCUGACCGAGCAACGCCGCGUGAGUGAAGAAGGUUGUCGGAUCGUAAAGCUCUGUUGUAAGAGAAGAACGGGUGUGAGAGUGGAAAGUUCACACUGUGACGGUAUCUGACCAGAAAGGGACGGCUAACUACGUG